rnacentral:rRNA from 1 species
UACGUAGGGUGCAAGCGUUAAUCGGAAUUACUGGGCGUAAAGCGUGCGCAGGCGGUUUUAUAAGUCUGACGUGAAAUCCCCGGGCUCAACCUGGGAAUUGCGUUGGAGACUGCAAGGCUAGAAUCUGGCAGAGGGGGGUAGAAUUCCACGUGUAGCAGUGAAAUGCGUAGAGAUGUGGAGGAACACCGAUGGCGAAGGCAGCCCCCUGGGUCAAGAUUGACGCUCAUGCACGAAAGCGUGGGGAGCAAACAGG